AAGGUAGCAUAAUCGUUUGCCUUAUAAUUGAAGGCUAGAAUGAAUGGUCAUAUGUAACAAUUACUUUUAUAAAAUAAUUAAAAUUAAAUUUAUCUGCUAGUGAAAAAGCUAGCAUUAUAGUGUCAGACAAGAAGACCCUAGGAGUUUACAUUAUACUAUACUGUAAAAUUUUUAGUUGGGGCAACAAAGUAUAAAUUCAUACUAUUUUCUAAUUUCAAACUUUUAUAUAAAUUUAAUAAAUUACCCUAGGGAUAACAGAAUAAUUUUAAUUUAGAGACCAAAUCAAAAUUAAAGCUUAUUACCUCGAUGUUGGAUUAAGGUGCAGGUGGAAGCAGCCAUUCACCAUUGCUUGUCUGUUCGACAAUAAAACCCUUACGUGAU
rnacentral:rRNA from 1 species